AUGAUGCAAGUCGUGCGAGGUCCAACCUCCCGCAAGGGAGGGGUCCGCCUAGCGGCGAACGGGUGCGUAACACGUGAGCAACCUGCCCCGCAUUUCGGGAUAACACCGGGAAACCGGUGCUAAUACCGGGUGCCCUCAUCUCACCGCAUGAUGAGAUGAGGAAAGGGAAACCGAUUCGGGAGGGGCUCGCGGCCUAUCAGCUUGUUGGUGAGGUAACGGCUCACCAAGGCGACGACGGGUAGCUGGUCUGAGAGGACGAUCAGCCACACUGGGACUGAGACACGGCCCAGACUCCUACGGGAGGCAGCAGCAGGGAAUCUUGCGCAAUGGGCGAAAGCCUGACGCAGCAACGCCGCGUGGGGGAUGAAGGCCCUCGGGUUGUAAACCCCUUUCAGCAGGAACGAAACUGACGGUACCUGCAGAAGAAGCCCCGGCCAACUACGUGCCAGCAGCCGCGGUAAUACGUANGGGGCGAGCGUUGUCCGGAUUCAUUGGGCGUAAAGAGCUCGUANGCGGUUUGGAAAGUCGGGUGUGAAUCUCCGGGCUCACUCGGAGCGGCCAUUCGAUACUUCUAUGACUAGAGUCCGGUAGGGGACCAUGGAAUUCCUGGUGUAGCGGUGAAUUGCCAGAUUUCAGGAGGANACCGGUGGCAAGGCGGUGGUCUGGGCCGGUACUGACCUUAAGACNAAANCCUGGGAGCGAAAGGAUUA
rnacentral:rRNA from 1 species